rnacentral:rRNA from 1 species
GACGAACGCUGGCGGCGUGCCUCAUACAUGCAAGUCGAGCGGGGUCCCUCCCUUCGGGGAGACGACCUAGCGGCGAACGGGUGAGUAACACGUGAGCAACCUACCCCGAACUUCGGGAUAAGCCUGGGAAACUGGGUCUAAUACCGGACACCCACCAUUGAUCACAUGUUCUUUGGUGGAAAGGUCCGCCGGUUCGGGAGGGGCUCGUGGCCUAUCAGCUUGUUGGCGGGGUAAUGGCCCACCAAGGCAA